AUUGAACGCUGGCGGCAUGCUUUACACAUGCAAGUCGAACGGCAGCACGGGGGCAACCCUGGUGGCGAGUGGCGAACGGGUGAGUAAUACAUCGGAACGUGUCCUUUUGUGGGGGAUAACCAGUCGAAAGACUGGCUAAUACCGCAUAAGCUGGAGACAGGAAAGCGGGGACCGCAAGGCCUCGUGCGAUUGGAGCGGCCGAUGUCCGAUUAGCUAGUUGGUAGGGUAAAGGCCACCAAGGCGACGAUCGGUAGCUGGUCUGAGAGGAUGAUCAGCCACACUGGGACUGAGACACGGCCCAGACUCCUACGGGAGGCAGCAGUGGGGAAUUUUGGACAAUGGGGGCAACCCUGAUCCAGCCAUGCCGCGUGAGUGAAGAAGGCCU
rnacentral:rRNA from 1 species